GACGGAAAGACCCCGUGAACCUUUACUAUAGCUUGACACUGAACAUUGAGCCUUGAUGUGUAGGAUAGGUGGGAGGCUUUGAAGCGUGGACGCCAGUCUGCGUGGAGCCAACCUUGAAAUACCACCCUUUAAUGUUUGAUGUUCUAACGUUGGCCCCUUACCGGGGUUGCGGACAGUGUCUGGUGGGUAGUUUGACUGGGGCGGUCUCCUCCCAAAGCGUAACGGAGGAGCACGAAGGUUAGCUAAUCCUGGUCGGACAUCAGGAGGUUAGUGCAAUGGCAUAAGCUAGCUUGACUGCGAGCGUGACGGCGCGAGCAGGUGC
rnacentral:rRNA from 1 species